AGUUGUUGCAGUUCGUGCUGUUUAAUAGGUGAAGGUGAAAACAAAACGAAACUUCAGAUUGAAGAUGACAUCUGUCAAAUACUAUGGUGUCAGUAUUUGCAGAACGAGAAAUUUAAUUUUAAAUCAGAAUUUGAUGAUAAAAUCACAGUGAUUGGAGACAGAAAGAAUUGAAAAUAUCGAUGGAAUGCUGACAACAUCGUAAGGAGUAUGCUGUCAGUAAUUGAUGAGGAUCAUUAAGUUUGGACCGGUCCUCUCUAAUUUUAUCAACAGGCGACAAAAUUAUUCUGGAGUAAUUUAUUCGUUCUGAUACAAAAUAGACUGCUGAUGCUGUAAACAUCCUAAAAAUUCUAUCCUCGAUGGCUUGUGGUGUCUUGUACUUCAAAGAUAAGGGAGAAAGUAAAAACGGAUACAUCUUAUCUGGAAGGACACAGAAUUCUCCAUAUUGAAGACUUUUUAGAACUCGGUCUAUUUUUACGGUUAUUUUUCACAUUUUCGAAAUGGAAAUUUAACUUGAAAGUAGGGAUCUCCGAGGGCUAUUUAGUUUGAAGGAGCUGUACUGCUGAUGCUGUAAACAUCGUAAGAAGGAUAGCAAUUCAACAUAUCUACUGCGACUAUAUACAGCAACAAAAAGUGA